CGGGAGGUAGCGCAGUCUGGUUUAGCGCACAUGGUUUGGGACCAUGGGGUCGUGGGUUCGAAUCCCACUCUCCCGA
rnacentral:tRNA from 1 species